rnacentral:rRNA from 1 species
GACGAACGCUGGCGGCGUGCCUAAUACAUGCAAGUCGACCUUAGUGGCGAACGGGUGAGUAACACGUGGGUAACCUGCCCAUCAGAAGGGGAUAACACUUGGAAACAGGUGCUAAUACCGUAUACUGAUGGAUGGACCCUCGGUGCAUUAGCUAGUUGGUGAGGUAACGGCUCACCAAGGCCACAAUGCAUAGCCAACGUGUGAGGGUGAUCGGCAACGUUGGGACUGAGACACGGCCCAAACUCCGAGGGGGGGCAGGAGUAGGGAAUCUUCGGAAAUGGACGAAAGUAUGACCGAGCAAAGCAGCGUGAGUGAAGAGAGUUUUCGGAUCGUAAAACUCUGUUGUUAGAGAAGCGGUAUCUAACCAGAAAGCCACGGCUAACUACGUGCCAGCAGCCGCGGAAAUAC